CCCUUAGACGUUCUGGGCCGCACGCGCGCUACACUGACGAAUGCAACGAGCUUAUAACCUUGGCCGAAAGGUCUGGGUAAUCUCCAAAUUUCGUCGUGAUGGGGAUAGAUUAUUGCAAUUAUUAAUCUUCAACGAGGAAUGCCUAGUAAGCGCAAGUCAUCAGCUUGCGUUGAUUACGUCCCUGCCCUUUGUACACACCGCCCGUCGCUCCUACCGAUUGAAUGGUCCGGUGAAGCGUUCGGACCGUGGCCUUUGGACGGUUCGCCGUCUGUUGGCUGCGGGAAGUUCGUUAAACCUUAUCAUUUAGAGGAAGGAGAANUCGUANCA
rnacentral:rRNA from 1 species